rnacentral:rRNA from 1 species
CAGUCGCCGCGGUAAUACGUAGGGUGCGAGCGUUAAUCGGAAUUACUGGGCGUAAAGCGUGCGCAGGCGGUUGUGUAAGACAGGUGUGAAAUCCCCGGGCUUAACCUGGGAACUGCGCUUGUGACUGCACAGCUAGAGUAUGGCAGAGGGGGGUGGAAUUCCACGUGUAGCAGUGAAAUACGUAGAGAUGUGGAGGAACACCGAUGGCGAAGGCAGCCCCCUGGGCCAAUACUGACGCUCAUGCACGAAAGCGUGGGGAGCAAACAGGAUUAGAUACCCCUGUAGUCCCUGUCUCUUAUAC